rnacentral:lncRNA from 1 species
CUUCAACAGCUUCACUUCAAUAGCUUGUAAAAGACUUGAUCUUGGACCUCAGACUCGCAACACCAGCUUCACCACGGUGUAUCUUGUCUUGUAUCUUCAAAGAACCUCCAAAGAACUAGAAAAGAUCUCCCAAAAAGUAGCUGAAACCCUUGUGAUGUCGAAUCUCUCAAGAACACUCCAAACACACUCACUUGAUCUCUUA